rnacentral:lncRNA from 1 species
GUGAGGGUGAGGGAAUAGGUUGCAGAGAGAUUUAGUUCGUGCAAAUGGCCAAGGUGUUCAAAUGAUGAUGAUGAAUGUGAUUAAAUAGGCAUUAGGUUUGGAUUGAGAUAGGUUUGGAAUUAGGAUUGGAUUCAGUUAGAUUUAGUUUAGGAGUUAGUUGGACUCAACUCACCGAGUUAAUUGUAAAACUCAGUUAGUUAGAACCGACUCAGUUAGUUAAGUUGGUUAAUGUGAAUGAAUUGAGACUUGUGACUGGCUGUGCAGGUUGUUUACUUAAAUGGACAUGAAUUCCAAGGGCUUUAGUAAUGAAUGGUUGAACAGGUUGCACUUAAGUGGUAUUGGUCCAUUGAUUUAAAUGAUGAAUGGUUGGG